rnacentral:rRNA from 1 species
CCCUUAGAUGUUCUGGGCCGCACGCGUGCUACACUGAGUGGAUCAGCGGGUCAGGUUGCGCGAAAGCGUUUCCUAAUCUUUAAAUCCGCUCGUGAUGGGGAUUGACGGUUGCAAUUUUCCGUCGUGAACGAGGAAUACCUUGUAGGCGCAUGUCAUCAUCAUGCGCCGAAUACGUCCCUGCCCUUUGUACACACCGCCCGUCGCUCCUACCGAUUGAAUGUUCCGGUGAACACUUUGGAAUAGUGCCUUUGUAUGGGGAAACUUGUACUUGGAUACUGUAAAGUUGUGUAAACCUUAACAUUUAGAGGAAGGAGAAGUCGUAACA